rnacentral:rRNA from 1 species
GAUGAACGCUGGCGGCGUGCCUAAUACAUGCAAGUCGAGCGAACAGACGAGGAGCUUGCUCCUCUGACGUUAGCGGCGGACGGGUGAGUAACACGUGGAUAACCUACCUAUAAGACUGGGAUAACUUCGGGAAACCGGAGCUAAUACCGGAUAAUAUAUUGAACCGCAUGGUUCAAUAGUGAAAGACGGUUUUGCUGUCACUUAUAGAUGGAUCCGCGCCGCAUUAGCUAGUUGGUAAGGUAACGGCUUACCAAGGCGACGAUGCGUAGCCGACCUGAGAGGGUGAGCGGCCACACUGGAACUGAGACACGGUCCAGACUCAUACGGGAGGAAGCAGUAGGGAAUCUUCCGCAAUGGGCGAAAGCCUGACGGAGCAACGCCGCGUGAGUGAUGAAGGUCUUCGGAUCGUAAAACUCUGUUAUUAGGGAAGAACAAAUGUGUAAGUAACUAUGCACGUCUUGACGGUACCUAAUCAGAAAGCCACGGCUAACUACGUG